UACGAAGGGGGCUAGCGUUGUUCGGAAUUACUGGGCGUAAAGCGUGCGCAGGCGGCCUUUCAAGUCAGUGGUGAAAGCCCGGAGCUCAACUCCGGAACUGCCAUUGAAACUGUUUGGCUUGAGUACGAGAGAGGUGAGUGGAAUUCCCAGUGUAGAGGUGAAAUUCGUAGAUAUUGGGAAGAACACCGGUGGCGAAGGCGGCUCUCUGGGACGGUACUGACGCUGAGACGCGAAAGCGUGGGGAGCGAACAGG
rnacentral:rRNA from 1 species